rnacentral:misc_RNA from 1 species
UCCGGGUUUCCCCGGCAGUCCCAUCAGAGUGCUCUCUUACGAGAUAGCAACUGACAGCAAGGGUUGCGCUCGUUAUAGGACUUAACCCAACAUCUCACGACACGAGCUGACGACAGCCAUGCACCACCUGUGCAAGGCCCCGAAGGACACCGUGUUUCCACGGCUUUUCCCUGCAUGUCAAGCCUAGGUAAGGUUCUUCGCGUUGCUUCGAAUUAAGCCACAUGCUCCGCCGCUUGUGCGGGUCCCCGUCAAUUCCUUUGAGUUUUAGCCUUGCGGCCGUACUCCCCAGGCGGGGUGCUUAAUGCGUUAGCUGCGGCACGGAUGGAGUCGACACCACCCACACCUAGCACCCAUCGUUUACGGCGUGGACUAC